GAGUGAGAUGAUGCUUUCAUCUUUCGGGACUGACCUGGAAUGGAGACAUCUUUCACACUGAUCACUC
ensembl:snoRNA small nucleolar RNA SNORD2